ensembl:snoRNA
CUGUCCCUAUGAUGUUUAACAAUGGGCUCUGAUCACCUCUUGAAGACUUGGUGCUCCCCCAGGAGCUCUGAUACCUGGGUUCUGAGGGACCC